rnacentral:lncRNA from 10 species
AGAGUCGGUGAAGGCUUUAAAGGAAGUAGGCAGCUGGAACCCGGCUGUGGCGGGUUGAAAAGCCCGGGCGUUUGAGAGCUGAGACUUGCCAGUUCCCACAGGCCAAGCCAGGCGUCUGCACCCCAUUCUCUUGGUUCCGACGGUGUAUGGAGUCUUGCUCUGUCACCCAGACUGGAGUACAGUGGUGUGAUCUCAGCUCACUGCAACCUCCACUUCCCAGGUUCAAGCGAUUUUCCUGCCCCAGCUUCCCGAGCAGCUGGGACUACAGAAUAUGCUCUCCAUGAGGGUGUUCUUCAGGGCCUACCACAAUGGCUGGCACUAGAGAAGGGCACAAAAUUGAAGAACAGUGAAGACAAAAGCAAUAAGAUGAUUAAGGCCAUGUGAGACAGCAACAAUAUCAGGUGAAUGUCACCCUUUAUCGAGUUGUGAGUAUCCAGCCUCUCACUUUGGGGGAUACUGUUUGAGCCUAAGUAACAUUAGUGGCUUUAUUCAUUUGGUAGAUUGUUUGUAUCUUUGCGUUGUCUCUAUCCUGCUUUUUCCUUGGCCAUUUUGCUAUUAAAAAUCUGUUGAUUUAC